CCUACGGGAGGCACCAGUAGGGAAUCUUCGGCAAGGGACGAAAGUCCGACCGAGCAACGCCGCGUGAGUGAAGAAGGUUUCCGGAUCGUAAAACUCUGUUGUUAGAGAAGAACAAGUAGGAGAGUAACUGCUCUUACCUUGACGGUAUCUAACCAGAAAGCCACGGCUAACUACGUGCCAGCAGCCGCGGUAAUACGUAGGUGGCAAGCGUUGUCCGGAUUUAUUGGGCGUAAAGCGAGCGCAGGCGGUCUUUUAAGUCUGAUGUGAAAGCCCUCGGCUCAACCGAGGAAGGUCAUUGGAAACUGGAGGACUUGAGUGCAGAAGAGGAGAGUGGAAUUCCAUGUGUAGCGGUGAAAUGCGUAGAUGUAUGGAGGAGCACCAGUGGCGAAGGCGACUCUCUGGUCUGUAACUGACGCUGAGGCUCGAAAGCGUGGGGAGCAGACAGGAUUAGAUACCCCUGUAGUC
rnacentral:rRNA from 1 species